rnacentral:rRNA from 1 species
GGAAUGACUGCUAAAACCGCAUAAGCGCACAGGGUCGCAUGACCCGGUGUGAAAAACUCCGGUGGUAUGAGAUGGACCCGCGUCUGAUUAGCUAGUUGGUGGGGUAACGGCCUACCAAGGCAACGAUCAGUAGCCGGCCUGAGAGGGUGAACGGCCACAUUGGGACUGAGACACGGCCCAAACUCCUACGGGAGGCAGCAGUGGGGAAUAUUGCACAAUGGGGGAAACCCUGAUGCAGCGACGCCGCGUGAGUGAAGAAGUAUUUCGGUAUGUAAAGCUCUAUCAGCAGGGAAGAAAAUGACGGUACCUGACUAAGAAGCCCCGGCUAACUACGUGCCAGCAGCCGCGGUAAUACGUAGGGGGCAAGCGUUAUCCGGAUUUACUGGGUGUAAAGGGAGCGUAGACGGCGAAGCAAGUCUGAUGUGAAAGGCAGGGGCUCAACCCCUGGACUGCAUUGGAAACUGUUUUGCUAGAGUGCCGGAGAGGUAAGCGGAAUUCCUAGUGUAGCGGUGAAAUGCGUAGAUAUUAGGAGGAACACCAGUGGCGAAGGCGGCUUACUGGACGGUAACUGACGUUGAGGCUCGAAAGCGUGGGGAGCAAACAGGAUUAGAUACCCUGGUAGUCC